rnacentral:rRNA from 1 species
GAUGAACGCUGGCGGCGUGCCUAAUACAUGCAAGUCGAGCGAACAGACGAGGAGCUUGCUCCUCUGACGUUAGCGGCGGACGGGUGAGUAACACGUGGAUAACCUACCUAUAAGACUGGGAUAACUUCGGGAAACCGGAGCUAAUACAGGAUAAGAUAUUGAACCGCAUGGUUCAAUAGUGAAAGACGGUUUUGCUGUCACUUAUAGAUGGAUCCGCGCCGCAUUAGCUAGUUGGUAAGGUAACGGCUUACCAAGGCAACGAUGCGUAGCCGACCUGAGAGGGUGAUCGGCCACACUGGAACUGAGACACGGUCCAGACUCCUACGGGAGGCAGCAGUAGGGAAUCUUCCGCAAUGGGCGAAAGCCUGACGGAGCAACGCCGCGUGAGUGAUGAAGGUCUUCGGAUCGUAAAACUCUGUUAUUAGGGAAGAACAAAUGUGUAAGUAACUAUGCACGUCUUGACGGUACCUAAUCAGAAAGCCACGGCUAACUACGUG